rnacentral:rRNA from 1 species
UGCCAGCAGCCGCGGUAAUACGAAGGGUGCUAGCGUUGUUCGGAAUCACUGGGCAUAAAGAGCACGUAGGCGGCGUGACAAGUCAGGGGUGAAAUCCUUCGGCUCAACCUGGGAACUGCGUUUGAAACUACAAGGCUAGAGUGUGGCAGAGGGGGGUGGAACUCCGCGUGUAGCAGUGAAAUGCGUAGAGAUGUGGAGGAACACCGAUGGCGAAGGCAGCCCCCUGGGUCAACACUGACGCUCAGGCACGAAAGCAUGGGGAGCAAACAGGAUUAGAUA